AGAGUUUGAUCAUGGCUCAGAUUGAACGCUGGCGGCAUGCCUUACACAUGCAAGUCGAGCGGCAGCGCGGGGGCAACCCUGGCGGCGAGCGGCGAACGGGUGAGUAAUGCAUCGGAACGUGUCCUCUUGUGGGGGGAUAACCAGUCGAAAGACUGGCUAAUACCGCAUGAGAUCGAGAGAUGAAAGCAGGGGACCGCAAGCCUUGCGCGAGAGGAGCGGCCGAUGCCGGAUUAGCUAGUUGGUGGGGUAACGGCCUACCAAGGCGACGAUCCGUAGCUGGUCUGAGAGGACGACCAGCCACACUGGGACUGAGACACGGCCCAGACUCCUACGGGAGGCAGCAGUGGGGAAUUUUGGACAAUGGGGGCAACCCUGAUCCAGCCAUGCCGCGUGUGUGAAGAAGGCCUUCGGGUUGUAAAGCACUUUCGGACGGAACGAAAUCGCGCGAGUUAAUAGUUCGCGUGGAUGACGGUACCGUAAGAAGAAGCACCGGCUAACUACGUGCCAGCAGCCGCGGUAAUACGUAGGGUGCGAGCGUUAAUCGGAAUUACUGGGCGUAAAGUGUGCGCAGGCGGCGCUGCAAGUCGAGUGUGAAAUCCCCGAGCUUAACUUGGGAAUUGCGCUCGAAACUACGGCGCUGGAGUAUGGCAGAGGAAGGUGGAAUUCCACGUGUAGCGGUGAAAUGCGUAGAGAUGUGGAGGAACACCGAUGGCGAAGGCAGCCUUCUGGGCCAAUACUGACGCUCAUGCACGAAAGCGUGGGGAGCAAACAGGAUUAGAUACCCUAGUAGUCC
rnacentral:rRNA from 1 species